AUUGUUUGCCUCCACCAAAGGGCACAAAGCAAUUACUUAGAGGGAUAAUUAUGGGGAUUGGAGGGACUGAAGACCUGAGCCUUCCUGAAAGCCUUCCACCUCCAAAUCCACUCUCUGCUAGAACCUAAGCCUUCUGCCUAUAAUCACCAGACUCACAAAAUGAGCAUGACCGGGCCAAUGUCAUGUUGGAGAUAACUGAAGAACACAUCAACAACAGAAUGAGGAUGCAGCACUACGUGAUCACCCGUAACUUCACACUGAGGAGUUGUGUUUCAGACGUGGCUCUUGGAUAUCUGGAGAAUAAAAGCAACUCACAGUCCAAAGCAGGAUCUCCAAUUACUGAGAAUGAGCACACCAUGCUGAGAGAGGGGGGAAGGCAGGAGGCUUGUGGGUGCCAAUCCGUAAGCAGCUCCAAGGCCAUGAGAUUUCUCAUCGCCUCCUCGCCUCUUCCUCCUCCAUCUCCUGUCCCUACUUCUCCUCUACCAUCUCAAGCCCUUGUUCCAUCACAUGGUUAAAGGAGCAGCUACAAAACAGGAACAGUCAAAUCCUUGUGGAAUUAAUUUGGGAAAAACUUACAUAUUUUUGGUCUUUAAGAAAUUUUCUCAAGGACUCAAAAAUAUCUCACAAGUCCCCUCUCUCCCUGUGGCAAACAGGUGGGAGCAGGUGACAGGCUGGCAUCUGACACAUAGUAAGCACCUACCACAAGGCUCUGAGUCCUGUUCUCUCUGCUUUGUGUAGAUAUCUUCAUUGAACCACCUCUGCAACCCUCAACUAUGAUCACGAUCAUUUUACGGAUGAGAAAACCGAGGCACAGAAAAGAAAGAGGCUUCCCAGGUCUCACAGCUUAAAUGUAGAACCAAGAUUUAAACCUUGACAGUCUGUCACUGGAACCCCCAAACUUACCACUGCAUUAUAAAACCUCCCAGCAGAAAUACAUCCAUGAAAUCUCCUAAAUCUAGAAAAUAGACCAAAUCUUAUCAAAGCCUCUUGAAUGCAUGUUAUUCAAAUAGAUAAAAGUGGUUUACUAUAUCUUCCAGGAUUCUUAUUGAAACUCACCCUGGUAAUUUAUAAAAUGUUCAAAAUAGACAUGAGAGAUAA
ensembl:lncRNA